UACGUAGGGUGCAAGCGUUAAUCGGAAUUACUGGGCGUAAAGGGUGUGUAGGCGGUUCUUUUAAGUUUGGUGUGAAAUCUCCCGGCUCAACCGGGAGGGUGCGCCGAAUACUGAGGGACUAGAGUAUGGGAUGGGGAAAGUGGAAUUCCUGGUGUAGCGGUGAAAUGCGUAGAUAUCAGGAGGAACACCUGUGGUGUAGACGGCUUUCUGGACCAUAACUGACGCUGAGACACGAAAAGCGUGGGUAGCAAACAGG
rnacentral:rRNA from 1 species